rnacentral:lncRNA from 1 species
CGCCGCCUGCCUCCGGGCCUCACCAAGGAGCAGCUGGAGGAGCAGCUGCGCCCGUUGCCAGCACACGACUACUUCGAGUUCUUCGCCGCCGACCUGAGUCUUUAUCCUCAUCUCUACUCAAGAGCAUACAUUAAUUUUAGGAAUCCUGAUGACAUCCUUCUUUUUAGAGAUCGUUUUGAUGGGAUAUAUCUUCCUUGACAGCAAAGAUCCAGAAUAUAAGAAGUUUUUAGAAACCUACUGUGUGGAGGAAGAGAAGGCCAGUGCCAACCCUGAGACUCUGCUGGGGGAGAUGGAGGCGAAGACAAGAGAGCUCAUUGCUAGAAGAACCACACCUCUUUUGGAAUAUAUUAAAAAUAGAAAAUUAGAAAAGCAGAGAAUUCGAGAAGAGAAGCGAGAAGAACGGAGGAGGAGAGAGUUAGAAAAGAAACGUUUGCGGGAAGAGGAAAAAAGAAGAAGAAGAGAAGAAGAAAGAUGCAAAAAAAAAAAGAGAGACAGAUAAACAGAAGAAAAUUGCAGAGAAAGAAGUAAGGAUUAAGCUUCUUAAGAAACCAGAAAAGGGAGAGGAACCAACCACAGAGAAACCAAAAGAAAGAGGAGAGGAGAUUGAUACUGGAGGUGGCAAGCAGGAAUCCUGUGCCCCCGGUGCAGUCGUAAAAGCCAGGCCCGUGGAAGGCUCGCUGGAGGAGCCCCAGGAGACGUCACACAGCGGCAGUGAUAAAGAGCACAGGGAUGUGGAGAGAUCUCAAGAACAAGAAUCUGAAGCACAAAGACACCAUGUGGAUGAUGGCAGGAGGCACAGAGCUCACCACGAGCCUGACCGGCUUUCCAGAGGGAGUGAGGAUGAGCAGAGAUGGGGGAAAGGACCUGGCCAAGACAGAGGGAAGAAGGGGAGCCAGGACAGCGGGGCUCCGGGGGAGGCCAUGGAGAGACUGGGAAGAGCGCAGAGGUGUGACGACAGUCCAGCACCCAGAAAAGAGCGACUGGCAAACAAGGACCGGCCAGCCUUGCAGCUGUAUGAUCCAGGAGCUCACUUCCGAGCGC